AUUGAACGCUGGCGGCAGGCCUAACACAUGCAAGUCGAACGAGUGGCGGACGGGUGAGUAAUGUCUGGGAAAUGGCCUGAUGGAGGGGGAUAACUACUGGAAACGGUAGCUAAAACCGCAUACCAUCAGAUGUGCCCAGAUGGGAUUAGCUUGUUGGUGGGGUAAAGGCUCACCAAGGCGACGAUCCCUAGCUGGUCUGAGAGGAUGACCAGCCACACUGGAACUGAGACACGGUCAGGAGUCCGACCAAGUACAACAGUUUAAAUUAUUGCACAAUGGGCGAAAGCCUGAUUCAGCCAUGCCGCGUGUAUGAAGAAGGCCUUCGGGUUGUAAAGUACUUUCAGCGGGGAGGCGUUACCCGCAGAAGAAGCACCGGCUAACUCCGUGCCAGCAGCCGCGGUAAUUC
rnacentral:rRNA from 1 species